rnacentral:rRNA from 1 species
AUACGAACCGGACAAACGUUAUUCGGAAUUAUUGGGCUUAAAGGGUGCGUAGGCGGCGCGGUAAGUGAGGUGUGAAAGCCCACGGCUCAACCGUGGAAUUGCGCUUCAUACUGCCGUGCUAGAGGGAGACAGAGGUAAGCGGAACUGAUGGUGGAGCGGUGAAAUGCGUUGAUAUUAUCAGGAACACCGGUGGCGAAAGCGGCUUACUGGGUCUCUUCUGACGCUGAGGCACGAAAGCUAGGGUAGCGAACGGGAUUAGAAACCCGAGUAGUCC